AUAAUUUUUAUUUGAUUUGUCGACCUCAGUUUGCGUUAAAACUAACAGAGAAGUACCUAAAGCAUUCCAUUUGAAUUGCACCUUAUCAGCCUUAAAAAAUGUUUUUUGCGACAAAGGAGAGUUAAAAUUGGGAAUGCUGUACGUACGCACAGAUGCAGGUGCGCCUUUUUUUUCUGGUAUAAAAACAGCAACAGCAUGAUUUUGUCCAGGAGACAAGGCAAAAUCGCUAAUACCCUCGACCCUAAGUUUAGCAAUAGGACCUUUAGACAUAUUCCCUGUU